UCACGGAUAUAUAACAACUUAAAUCUGUACCUUACAUGUCCUUUGCUGUGAUUCUUACGCCGUCAACGUAUGCAUGUGCUCCUCUGAAGCCAGCUUUCUUCCCUUCUUUCCUCGCUUUCUCCACUUGCGGCCACAGCUGGUUUCUGGCCUCCUUGGCUUCUUGAGUGAGGUCCUCCAGGAUCUUUAAUUUUCUUGUUUGGGGAGUCUCCGAUGUCCUGGCGUCCUUCCAGAUUUUAUCUCGGUGUGAUCGUGACAGAAAGCGUAAUAUGACGCGCCGGCUGGAGCGCUCGUGUCCGGAGCGAGGUCCCACUCUGUGCACGAUAUCCACCGUAAGAACCAGCUGAUCCGCGAUGUCAGGGGAGAUUUGGCCGAACAGGUCAAUGAUGAUUUUCUUAAUGUCCUCCCCGGUCCUCUCAGGUAUCCCGGCGACGCGCAGGUUCCACCGUCUCGAGUAGGCAUCCAUGUCGUUGAAUUUGCUCCGGAGCUCCGUGCUUGCUUUCCCCAGGGUUGAGGUUUCAGCUUGGAGGGUGGUCACCUGGCCAGACAUGUCUUCCAUCCGCCCCCACAGAGCCUCCAGGGAGUCAGUGACGUUUUUCGUUGUUUUAGUGUUUUCUUUUACAGCAUCUUCCAAGGUUUCGAGCCGCU